rnacentral:rRNA from 1 species
GCGGCCUAUCAGCUUGUUGGUGAGGUAAAGGCUCACCAAGGCGACGACGGGUAGCCGGCCUGAGAGGGCGACCGGCCACACUGGGACUGAGACACGGCCCAGACUCCUACGGGAGGCAGCAGUAGGGAAUAUUGGGCAAUGGGCGAAAGCCUGACCCAGCGACGCCGCGUGAGGGAUGAAGGUCUUCGGAUUGUAAACCUCUUUCAGUAGGGAAGAAGCGAAAGUGACGGUACCUAAAGAAGAAGCACCGGCUAACUAUGUGCCAGCAGCCGCGGUAAUACAUAGGGUGCAAGCGUUGUCCGGAAUUAUUGGGCGUAAAGAGCUCGUAGGUCGUUUGUCGCGUCGAUUGUGAAAAUCUGAGGCUCAACCUCAGACCUGCAGUCGAUACGGGCGAGCUAGAGUGUGGUAGGGGAGACUGGAAUUCCU